GACGAACGCUGGCGGCGUGCUUAACACAUGCAAGUCGAACGGAAAGGCCCUGCUUGCAGGGUACUCGAGUGGCGAACGGGUGAGUAACACGUGGGUGAUCUGCCCUGCACUUCGGGAUAAGCCUGGGAAACUGGGUCUAAUACCGGAUAGGAGCCAUUUUUAGUGUGAUGGUUGGAAAGUUUUUUCGGUGUAGGAUGAGCUCGCGGCCUAUCAGCUUGUUGGUGGGGUAAUGGCCUACCAAGGCGACGACGGGGAGCCGGCCUGGGAGGGUGGACGGCCACAGUGAGACUGGGAAUCGGACAAGACUCCUACGGGUGGGAGAAGUGGGAAAGAGUGCACAAGCGGCGCGAGCCUGAUGCAGAGACGCCGCGGGGGGGAUGACGGCCUUCGGGUUGUAAACUCAUUUCGCUAGGGACGAAGCUUUAUGUGACGGUACCUAGAGAAGAAGCACCGGCUAACUACGUG
rnacentral:rRNA from 1 species